rnacentral:rRNA from 1 species
CAUGAGAACAUUAUCUUCCGAUAAUAAUGUAACUGGCGAACGGGUGAGUAACGCGUAACAACUUGCCUCAGAGAUUGGGACAACAUUGGGAAACCAAGUGCUAAUACCAAAUAAUGCAGCGGGCCCUUCGGAGCACAGUUGUUAAAGUAGGCUUCGGCUUACACUUUGAGAUAAGUUUGCGUCCGAUUAGUUUGUUGGUAGGGUAAAAGCCUACCAAGACCCAGAUCGGGAGCUGGUCUGAGAAGAUGAUCAGCCACACUGGAAUUGAGAUACGGUCCAGACUCCUACGGGAGGCAGCAGUAAGGAAUUUUGCCCCAUGGGCGAAAGCCUGAUGCACCAACGCCUGCGUAAACGAUGAAGUAACUAGGAAUUGUCAAGUUCUGUCCAUAUAGGAAGAGAUCUUAUCAAAUGUACACCCAUCCGCUAAUGACCGGAACCUACAAAAACGA